AGUGAACGCUGGCGGUAGGCCUAACACAUGCAAGUCGAACGGCAGCACAGUAAGAGCUUGCUCUUACGGGUGGCGAGUGGCGGACGGGUGAGGAAUACAUCGGAAUCUACUUUUUCGUGGGGGAUAACGUAGGGAAACUUACGCUAAUACCGCAUACGACCUACGGGUGAAAGCAGGGGAUCUUCGGACCUUGCGCGAUUGAAUGGGCCGAUGUCGGAUUAGCUAGUUGGCGGGGUAAAGGCCCACCAAGGCGACGAUGCGUAGCUGGUCUGGGAGGAUGAUCAGCCACACUGGAACUGAGAAGCGGCCGAGACGACUACGGGAGGCAGCAGUGGGGAAUAUUAGACAAUGGGCGCAAGCCUGCUCCAGCCAUACCGCGUGGGUGAAGAAGGCCUUCGGGUUGUAAAGCCCUUUUGUUGGGAAAGAAAAGCAGCAGGUUAAUACCCCGCUGUUCUGACGGUACCCAAGGAAUAAGCACCGGCUAACUUCGUG
rnacentral:rRNA from 1 species